rnacentral:lncRNA from 1 species
UUGAGAGGUUCGGUCAGAGUAUGGACCGAGCGACGUGAGGCAUCGACCGCGGCCUAGUCGGCCGGGAUCGGGUCUUACAGUUAUACACAAAUUUGCUUACUACAACUCCAAAUAGUAUGAGCAUAAUCAACGAAUUUGUCAAUCAAUAAAUAUAAUAACAUGCAUGGUCAAAUCCAGGCUGUAGUAACUAGGAUUUGGGAAGAACUCAAGAAUAGAAUUUUCAUUCUCAGAUUAGGAGAGUAUAACUAUCUCCUCCACAUUCAUCAUGAAUCAACCCGUAAAUAGGGGUUGCAAAGAAGAUUGUGGUAUGUUGAUGAUUAUGUCAAUUAAAAUACUUUAUACUAAUAAGAAAAUAUAAAUUAUCAAAAUUUUACUAU